UAGGGAAUCUUCCGCAAUGGACGCAAGUCUGACGGAGCAACGCCGCGUGAGUGAAGAAGGAUUUCGGUUCGUAAAACUCUGUUGUUAGAGAAGAACAGCGCAUAGAGUAACUGUUAUGCGUGUGACGGUAUCUAACCAGAAAGCCACGGCUAACUACGUGCCAGCAGCCGCGGUAAUACGUAGGUGGCAAGCGUUGUCCGGAUUUAUUGGGCGUAAAGCGAGCGCAGGCGGUCAAUUAAGUCUGAUGUUAAAGCCCCCGGCUCAACCGGGGAGGGUCAUUGGAAACUGGUUGACUUGAGUGCAGAAGAGGAGAGUGGAAUUCCAUGUGUAGCGGUGAAAUGCGUAGAUAUAUGGGGGAACACCAGUGGCGAAGGCGACUCUCUGGUCUGUAACUGACGCUGAGGUUCGAAAGCGUGGGUAGCAAACAGG
rnacentral:rRNA from 1 species